CAAAUUUGGUGGUUGUCGGUCUUUGCAAAUAACGCUUCUUCUUUUUCAUGUUCAGCCUUUGGCUGCUGGUUGCAUCAUUGGUUGAGUGCAUGGCCAUGCCGCUGAUGCAAUGCUCCUAUUACCAGUACAUUGAUACUCAUUUCGCCAACUUUGGAAGGAUGACAGGCUGAGUCAACCCCACCUGAUGUUACUUCAACGAAGAGAGUGGAUCGAACAAGCCACCCACUGAAGUGGGACAACCAAAGGAAACCCACGGGCAUAGACAAAAGGGAGGAUCGUGCAUGGAGAGAAGAUGAAGAGCCUCGUGAGUGGAGGAAGCCAUUCGGCCGACCACGUGCCUUGUGGUUGCAGCACAUUGAUCAGCGGUUGCAGCAGUUUUUGCACUGCUCGUGGUUGCAGAAGGUUUUUGAUAGCUGUGAGUUGCCGACUCCAACGAAGUAAAGGUAUGCGUCAGCAGAACGUGUUGCAUGCAUGGAACAAGAU
rnacentral:lncRNA from 1 species